GACGAACGCUGGCGGCGUGCCUAAUACAUGCAAGUAGAACGCUGAAGGAGGAGCUUGCUUCUCUGGAUGAGUUGCGAACGGGUGAGUAACGCGUAGGUAACCUGCCUGGUAGCGGGGGAUAACUAUUGGAAACGAUAGCUAAUACCGCAUAAUAGUAGAUGUUGCAUGACAUUUGCUUAAAAGGUGCAAUUGCAUCACUACCAGAUGGACCUGCGUUGUAUUAGCUAGUUGGUGAGGUAACGGCUCACCAAGGCGACGAUACAUAGCCGACCUGAGAGGGGGAUCGGCCACACUGGGCCUGAGACACGGCCCAGACUCCUACGGGAGGCAGCAGUAGGGAAUCUUCGGCAAUGGACGGAAGUCUGACCGAGCAACGCCGCGUGAGUGAAGAAGGUUUUCGGAUCGUAAAGCUCUGUUGUAAGAGAAGAACGAGUGUGAGAGUGGAAAGUUCACACUGUGACGGUAUCUUACCAGAAAGAGACGGCUAACUACGUG
rnacentral:rRNA from 1 species